CCCCCCCCCCCCAAGGAUCUUCUCUUGGAAAGGGCUGGCUGCUGGAAUGUGGUGCGGAGGCAAACAGGCAGGUUUGUCUCUGGGGUGCUGGAGAUGUUGGCAUUUGAGGAAUGAGAGCAAGAAUUUCUGCCCUUUGGUCACUUCAAAGUGUAGUGAUCUCUCCUGCAGGGUCCCGGAAGGAGGAGGUGAACGAGCAAGGGAAAGGCCUCACUGUGUCCUUAAACCAUUGGGGUCAGGAAGGCAGGAGUGUGUGUUCUCAUACCAACUGGGGCUGCAAACAUCUUCCCUUCCUUUCUGGUUCUUCUGUUACGUCCAUCCUAAUUGCUCAAAGAGCUGCCUGAAAAUUUGGCCCCCUUUUUGUACCUUUCAUUCUUCUGCCACAAACGGGUAGUCCCUGCAUAACUAUCAAAAGCCUCCUAAUUCUGUAGCUCAUGCACUGCCUUGUUUUGAAUGUGCAGUUCUGUUCCUCUUAUUUCUACACUUUUUGUUCUUUCUGAAAGGGUAGUCACACUUGUUCUCUGAUUCCCAUGGCUACUGCAGUAAUUCCCAGAGUUCACUGCUUCCGAAGCCAGGAGCUCACAUCAAUGCGUUGGCAGCCUAGCAUUUUGGAUUCCUCCCCCUUCCGGAGUGUGCAUUGUCUGGACCUAAGGUUACCAAUCCUUGGGUGGGGCCUGCAGCCCUCUAGAGUACUGAAAUCAGUGGCCAUGAGGAAAUGGCAGCUUUUAAAGGACAUAAUGAAUGUAAAAAGUAGGGUAUAGGUGUAGGGUAACCAAGUCAAAAUUAGAGGAUCGCCUUACCCCCCUGGCUCAAAUUCAUAGACUACUUAAAGUAAAGUGCAAGGAAGUAAAAUUCACAGGAAGUCAUCAUAUUUUUCAGCCGUAAGGGGAUCUUGAAGGAUAAGACGUAUUAUGCUACUCCCUUUAAGUAAUUUCGACUGAGGUGUUAUAUUAUUAAAGAAGAAUUAGCAAAAAUGCUUGAAUGUCACAGAGGACGUUCUAUGUUGGCUGCUCUUAUGAGAGUUCCAGGGGUGGCAGUUGACAGAGAACUGCCAAUUUCAUCAAUUGGUUGUGAGUAAUCCCUUUGAGUUGCCCAAACAGGAAAACAGCCUAUUUCGUCCUGUUUGUUCUACAAGGACUGUGCUUCAAUCAGGAGUCCUUUUAUUUGCUUGAAAGGGAGAUUGGGCAAAAUGCCAACUAACUGGGAGAAACUUGAGAAGAUCCACAUGGACGCAAAUUUGGGCUAUACUUCUCCCUCAAUUAUGUAUCUAUAUAUAGGCAUUACUACUCAAGAUUUAGAAGCAAAUAGGAGCAUUUGCCUUUGUUAUUGGGUUUACAUGCAGUUCGCUUUUCAUUGAGCACUUUAUUAAAAUAUCACCUUGCACUUAAAUAGUCUACGAAUUUAGAGCCAGAGGGGUAUGGAGCUUCAAAGGACAGGCACUCUGGUGUCACGUCCACACUGAACUCCCUUCCCAGGCGUGCUGCCCCCAAAUCUCCAGGUACCUCUCCAAACUGCAGCUGGCGACCCUAUCUGGACCACACAUAUUGUGGUGGGCGAGGAGGGAGUGAGAGUGUGUGUGUGUGUGUCAGGCCAUGGAGGCUGAAGCUCAGUGUUCCCCCAAGAGAAGCACUACAUGUGGUUAGACUCCUACUCCAUCCGUGAAUGGUUAGUAGUGGGGACAUUCACUCUGAUGAAUAUGCCUUUAACAGGCUUGUUCAGACUGUUGGUGGCAAUUCAAGUGCUUUUGAUUUUUUUUUUUUUAGUUCCAUAGAACUGGUGGUGUAGAGCACAGGCUGCAGGAGUCCUGGGCGUCUAUCCCCACAUAGUCAUGUGUCUGAGUGGUCUUGGGGCAGUGACUCUCUCUUAGCUUAACUUCCUUUGCAGGGUUUGUUUGAGGUGAAAGUGAAGGGAGAGCCACGCAUGCUGCUGUCAGCUCCUUGGAAAAGGGGCAGGAUAAAAUGUGAGAGGCAAUUAGAAUGUGAUUUUUUUAAAAAAAGAUCUCCGCAUACAUGGGAGCUCUUUGUCCACCUGCCAGCAGAACCUCUCAAGGGAAGGCAGAGUGAUGGACCAUUUUGAUAAUCUGCUCCGUGACUGGCUGUCAGGUUUGCUCCAUGCGGUCAUCAUGGAAGGCUGGAGUGCAGAGAUUGGCUUUAGCUACUGCAUCACUAGCGCUCUGCCUGCAGUUAGUAGCUGAUUCUUGGUCAGCAGGAACUCCUCUUCCGUGCGCACACCCUGUCAUAUAUUCCUGCAUUAGUGCAUGCGUCUGCUGCAAUGUGUAUUUUGCCCCACGUGCGCGGAAGAAGAUACCUGCUGUGUCAGGCCAAUAGCCAUACAGUCCAGCAUCCUGCAAUACCGAUAAGAAUCUACAAACCAUCAACAGGG